rnacentral:tRNA from 1 species
GGGGAUUUAGCUCAGCGGUAGAGCGCUUGCCUAGGAAGCACAAGGCCCUGGGUUCGAUCCCAGCUCCG